GCCUCUACUGGAUAGCUCAGUUGGUUAGAGUAUGGUGCUGAAAACACCAAGGUUGCAGGUUCGAUCCCUGUAUGGGACA
rnacentral:tRNA from 1 species